GACGAACCGUGCUAACGUUGUUCGGAAUCACUGGGCUUAAAGGGCGCGUAGGUCGGUCUGCCAAGUCAGGGGUGAAAUCCUCCAGCUUAAACGUGGAGAACUCGCCUUUGAUACUGAUGGUCUCGAGUAAGGUAGGGGCAUGCGGAACUGAUGGUGGAGCGGUGAAAUGUGUUGAUAUCAUCAGGAACUCGGUGGCGAAGGCGGCAUGCUGGACCUUCACUGACGCUGAGGCGCGAAAGCUAGGGAGCGAACGGG
rnacentral:rRNA from 1 species